rnacentral:rRNA from 1 species
UACGGGGGGAGCAAGCGUUGUUCGGAUUUACUGGGCGUAAAGGGCGCGUAGGCGGCCAACUAAGUCGGAUGUGAAAUCCCCAGGCUUAACCUGGGAAUUGCAUCCGAUACUGGAUGGCUUGAAUCCGGGAGAGGGAUGCGGAAUUCCAGGUGUAGCGGUGAAAUGCGUAGAUAUCUGGAGGAACACCGGUGGCGAAGGCGGCAUCCUGGACCGGCAUUGACGCUGAGGAGCGAAAGCCAGGGGAGCAAACGGG